rnacentral:rRNA from 1 species
UGAGGAAUAUUGGUCAAUGGCCGGAAGGCUGAACCAGCCAAGCCGCGUGAAGGAAGAAGGCGCUAAGCGUCGUAAACUUCUUUUGUCAAGGAACAAAGGGGGUCACGCGUGGCCUUGUGAGUGUACUUGAAGAAAAAGCAUCGGCUAACUCCGUGCCAGCAGCCGCGGUAAUACGGAGGAUGCGAGCGUUAUCCGGAUUUAUUGGGUUUAAAGGGUGCGUAGGCGGGCUGUUAAGUCAGCGGUAAAAGCCCGGGGCUCAACCCCGGCGAGCCGUUGAUACUGGCGGUCUUGAGACGUCGAGAGGUAUGCGGAAUGCGCGGUGUAGCGGUGAAAUGCAUAGAUAUCGCGCAGAACUCCGAUUGCGAAGGCAGCAUACCGGCGGCGGGCUGACGCUGAGGCACGAAAGCGUGGGUAUCGAACAGG